AUUGAACGCUGGCGGCAUGCCUUACACAUGCAAGUCGAACGGUAACAGGUCUUCGGAUGCUGACGAGUGGCGAACGGGUGAGUAAUACAUCGGAACGUGCCUAGUAGUGGGGGAUAACUACUCGAAAGAGUGGCUAAUACCGCAUGAGAUCUACGGAUGAAAGCAGGGGAUCGCAAGACCUUGUGCUACUAGAGCGGCCGAUGGCAGAUUAGGUAGUUGGUGGGAUAAAAGCUUACCAAGCCGACGAUCUGUAGCUGGUCUGAGAGGACGAUCAGCCAAACUGGGACUGAGACAAGGCCCAGACUCCUACGGGAGGCAGCAGUGGGGAAUUUUGGACAAUGGGCGUAAGCCUGAUCCAGCAAUGCCGCGUGCAGGAUGAAGGCCUUCGGGUUGUAAACUGCUUUUGUACGGAACGAAAAGCCCUGGGUUAAUACCCUGGGGUCAUGACGGUACCGUAAGAAUAAGCACCGGCUAACUACGUGCCAGCCGCCGCCGUAACAC
rnacentral:rRNA from 1 species